CCUACGGGAGGCAGCAGUGAGGAAUAUUGGUCAAUGGAGGCAACUCUGAACCAGCCAUGCCGCGUGAAGGAUGACGGCCCUAUGGGUUGUAAACUUCUUUUAUAGAGGAAGAAACUUAUCUACGUGUAGAUAACUGACGGUACUCUACGAAUAAGGAUCGGCUAACUCCGUGCCAGCAGCCGCGGUAAUACGGAGGAUCCAAGCGUUAUCCGGAUUCAUUGGGUUUAAAGGGUCCGUAGGCGGGUCUUUAAGUCAGUGGUGGAAGCCGACAGCUCAACUGUCGAACUGCCAUUGAUACUGGAGACCUUGAGUACAAAUGAAGUAGGCGGAAUGAGUCAUGUAGCGGUGAAAUGCAUAGAUAUGACUCAGAACACCGAUUGCGAAGGCAGCUUACUAACAUGUAACUGACGCUGAGGGACGAAAGCGUGGGGAGCGAACAGGAUUAGAUACCCUGGUAGUCCACGCCGUAAACGAUCAUCACUCGCUGUUGGCGAUAUACUGUCAGCGGCCAAGCGAAAGUAUUAAGUGAUGCACCUGGGGAGUACGCCGGCAACGGUGAAACUCAAAGGAAUUGACGGA
rnacentral:rRNA from 1 species